rnacentral:rRNA from 1 species
CAGCAGCCGCGGGAAUACGAAGGGUGCAAGCGUUAAUCGGAAUUACUGGGCGUAAAGCGUGCGUAGGCGGUGAGUUAAGUCUGCUGUGAAAUCCCCGGGCUCAACCUGGGAAUGGCAGUGGAUACUGGCUCGCUAGAGUGUGUCAGAGGAUGGUGGAAUUCCCGGUGUAGCGGUGAAAUGCGUAGAGAUCGGGAGGAACAUCAGUGGCGAAGGCGGCCAUCUGGGACAACACUGACGCUGAGGCACGAAAGCGUGGGGAGCAAACAGGAUUAGAUACCCCUGUAGUCCCUGUCUCUUAUAC